UCGUAAAGCUCCUGUUUGUUAGGAAGAACAAGUGCCGUUCAAAUAGGGCGGCACCUUGACGGUACCUAACAGAAAGCACGGCUAACUACGUGCAGCAGCCGCGGUAAUACGUAGGUGGCAAGCGUUGUCCCGGAAAUUAUUGGGCGUAAAGGGCUCGCAGGCGGUUUCUUAAGUCUGAUGUGAAAGCCCCCGGCUCAACCGGGGAGGGUCAUUGGAAACUGGGGAACUUGAGUGCAGAAGAGGAGAGUGGAAUUCCACGUGUAGCGGUGAAAUGCGUAGAGAUGUGGAGGAACACCAGUGGCGAAGGCGACUCUCUGGUCUGUAACUGACGCUGAGGAGCGAAAGCGUGGGGAGCGAACAGGAUUAGAUACCCUGGUAGUUCACGCCGUAAACGAUGAGUGCUAAGUGUUAGGGGGUUUCCGCCCCUUAGUGCUGCAGCUAACGCAUUAAGCACUCCGCCUGGGGAGUACGGUCGCAAGACUGAAACUCAAAGGAAUUGACGGGGGCCCGCACAAGCGGUGGAGCAUGUGGUUUAAUUCGAAGCAACGCGAAGAACCUUACCAGGUCUUGACAUCCUUUGACAAUCCUAGAGAUAGGACGUCCCCUUCGGGGGCAGAGUGACAGGUGGUGCAUGGUUGUUGUCAGCUCGUGUCGUGAGAUGUUGGGUUAAGUCCCGCAACGAGCGCAACCCUUGAUUUUAGUUGCCAGCAUUCAGUUGGGCACUUUAAGGUGACUGCCGGUGACAAACCGGAGGAAGGUGGGGAUGACGUCAAAUCAUCAUGCCCCUUAUGACCUGGGCUACACACGUGCUACAAUGGGCAGAACAAAGGGCAGCGAAACCGCGAGGUUAAGCCAAUCCCACAAAUCUGUUUUCAGUUCGGAUCGCAGUUUGCAACUUGACUGCGUGAAGCUGGAAUCGCUAGUAAUCGCGGAUCAGCAUGCCGCGGUGAAUACGUUCCCGGGCCUUGUACACACCGCCCGUCACACCCCGAGAGUUUGUAACACCCGAAGUCGGUGAGGUAACCUUUAGGAGCCAGCCGCCGAAAGUGACAGCUUCGCC
rnacentral:rRNA from 1 species